rnacentral:lncRNA from 1 species
AUAUUAUCCCUGUACAUCCUCCCUGUGUUAUUUCUUGUGUGCAGGAUCAGCAGUUUGCAGAGCGUACCUCAAAUCCCAAAAGACAAUAGGGCUACCCACAGUCCAUGAGAAACAUCGCCUUAAAAAAUCCUUCACCCGGCCAGCUCGGAGGAAAUGCAACUGGUGACUGUGAAAGUGCAAUAAAACAUGUGUAAAUACCCAGGAAUGAGGGUCCUUACAGAUGGCACUGACAUGCACCAGGCGCUUGCAUCAUCUGCAGGAAGGAAAAGAUGAAGACAGGAAUGACGAGUCUAAAGUUUUCCUGAGCCUAUGUGACAGGGAUGGAAAUGCUGGUUGAAAUCUUAGAAGUACAUGCCUUCCUUGAGUGAGAAGGCCAAGAGAUUGCUGCUCAGUAAGUAAACACAGAGAAACGGUCUUUUCUUCUCUCUAGAUGCUGGGAUUUCUGGCUAACUGUACCUCCAGGCGCACUUGCUUUAUGCCAGCAAAUUCUUGUAGUAAGGCACGGCAUGGUGGUCCUUUGACAAAACUGAUCUUGAGGGGUUAAGAUAUCAUCAGCACACCCCCGUCUGCUUAUGUUAGAUCAGGCAGAACCAGUAGCGGUUAUCUUGCUCAUGGCAUAAAAUAAAUACCAGUCACUGAAGAACA